rnacentral:lncRNA from 1 species
GGAGCUGCAAACUGCCCUCAGGGCAAAGAAGCCUGCAGAAUAAUUGGGAGGAGUCUGGCAGGAAGGAAGCCAAGAAAGCACAAGCAAGAAUGUGUGAGAAGAUCACAGAGACCUAAAGAAGGGGAAGGGAAGAACCCACAUGUGAGAGAGAAGAGAUUGUCUGACUUGGUAAAUAGAUAUUGAAAACCAGAGGUCUCUUAGGGCUCCUCAUCUCAAGAAGCCAGCAGGCAAGGGAAGGACAAACCAUCCUUGCAGGAAUAAUUCGUACUGAUCAUUUGGAGGAGAUUCGGCUAGUAUAGCUGCUGUUACAUAAUGAAGAAAAGGAAGAAUAUGUUUCAAACUCAGAUGAACCACUGGGGAGUCUCUUGAUACUCUGUUGCCUAAUUUGGAUGGUUAAUGGGUAAGUGCAAUAGACACAGCCUCAGAAAGGCGUGGUAAUCAGAGACUUAAAUCCUCAGUUUCCAUAGUUAAGCUACUAAGAUCAUGAGAGGUGCUUCCUAGGAGUGAAGAGAAUCGGAAUGUCUAGGAAGGACAUCAUGAAAACUAGUUGUGCUCUUAAACCUAACUACAGUUGAUCCUCAAGGACUUGAGAGUUAGGAGCUCUGACCUCUGAGUAGGCAAAAAUUCACAUAUAACUUUUGGCUUUCCAAAACCUUAACUCAUAAUAGACUACUGUAGAGAAGGUUUACCUAUAAUGUAAACAGUUGAUUAACACAUAUGUUACGUUAUAUGCACUGUAUUCUUAUAACAAAGCAAGCUACGGAAAAGAAAAUGUUAUUAAGAAAAUCAUGAA